GACGAACGCUGGCGGCGUGCUUAACACAUGCAAGUCGAACGGAAAGGCCCCUUUGGGGGUCCUCGAGUGGCGAACGGGUGCGUAACACGUGAGUAACCUGCCCUUGACUUCGGGAUAACUUCAGGAAACUGGGGCUAAUACCGGAUAGGAAUCCUUGCUGCAUGGUGGGGGUUGGAAAGCUUCGGCGGUUUUGGAUGGACUCGCGGCUUAUCAGCUUGUUGGUGGGGUAGUGGCUUACCAAGGCUUUGACGGGUAGCCGGCCUGAGAGGGCGACCGGCCACAUUGGGACUGAGAUACGGCCCAGACUCCUACGGGAGGCAGCAGUGGGGAAUAUUGCACAAUGGGCGGCAGCCUGAUGCAGCAACGCCGCGUGCGGGAUGACGGCCUUCGGGUUGUAAACCGCUUUCAGCAGGGGCGAAGCUUGUGGUGACGGUACCUGCAGAAGAAGCACCGGCUAACUACGUG
rnacentral:rRNA from 1 species